UACGGAGAGUGCAAGCAUUAAUCGGAAUGAUUGGGCGUAAAGGGCGCGUAGGCUGAAUGAUAAGUCAGAUGUGAAAUUCCGAAGCUCAACUUCGGAGCUGCAUUUGAAACUGUGAUUCUAGAGGGUUGACGGAGAAAACGGAAUUCCACGUGUAGCGGUGAAAUGCGUAGAUAUGUGGAAGAACACCUGUGGCGAAAGCGGUUUUCUAGUUAAUACCUGACGCUGAGGCGCGAGAGCAAGGGGAUCAAACAGG
rnacentral:rRNA from 1 species